UACGUAGGGUGCGAGCGUUGUCCGGAAUUAUUGGGCGUAAAGAGCUCGUAGGCGGCUUGUCGCGUCGGCUGUGAAAGCCCGGGGCUUAACUCCGGGUCUGCAUUCGAUACGGGCAGGCUAGAGUUCGGUAGGGGAGAUCGGAAUUCCUGGUGUAGCGGUGAAAUGCGCAGAUAUCAGGAGGAACACCGGUGGCGAAGGCGGAUCUCUGGGCCGAUACUGACGCUGAGGAGCGAAAGCGUGGGGAGCGAACAGG
rnacentral:rRNA from 1 species